UACAGAGGGUGCGAGCGUUAAUCGGAAUUACUGGGCGUAAAGCGUGCGUAGACGGUUAUUUAAGUCGGGUGUGAAAGCCCCGGGCUCAACCUGGGAAUUGCAUUCGAGACUGAAUAGCUAGAGUACGGUAGAGGGAAGCUGAAUUUCCGGUGUAGCGGUGAAAUGCGUAGAUAUCGGAAGGAACAUCAGUGGCGAAAGCGGCUUCCUGGACCAGUACCGACGUUCAGGCACGAAAGCGUGGGGAGCAAACAGG
rnacentral:rRNA from 1 species